rnacentral:rRNA from 1 species
AUGAACGCUGGCGGCGUGCCUCAUACAUGCAAGUCGAGCGAACGGACGAGAAGCUUGCUUCUCUGAUGUUAGCGGCGGACGGGUGAGUAACACGUGGAUAACCUACCUAUAAGACUGGGAUAACUUCGGGAAACCGGAGCUAAUACCGGAUAAUAUUUUGAACCGCAUGGUUCAAAAGUGAAAGACGGUCUUGCUGUCACUUAUAGAUGGAUCCGCGCUGCAUUAGCUAGUUGGUAAGGUAACGGCUUACCAAGGCAGCGGUGCAUAGCCGACCUGAGAGGGUGAUCGGCCACACUGGAACUGAGACACGGUCCAGACUCCUACGGGAGGCAGCAGUAGGGAAUCUUCCGCAAUGGGCGAAAGCCUGACGGAGCAACGCCGCGUGAGUGAUGAAGGUCUUCGGAUCGUAAAACUCUGUUAUUAGGGAAGAACAUAUGUGUAAGUAACUGUGCACAUCUUGACGGUACUUAAUCAGAAAGCCACGGCUAACUACGUG